rnacentral:rRNA from 1 species
AACUUCCGUUAAUUGAUUAUGACGUACUUGUAGUGAUUGAGAUUUUAACACGAAGUGAGUGGCGAACGGGUGAGUAACACGUGGGUAACCUGCCCAGAAGUAGGGGAUAACACCUGGAAACAGAUGCUAAUACCGUAUAACAGAGAAAACCGCAUGGUUUUCUUUUAAAAGAUGGCUUUGCUAUCAAUUUUGGAUGGACCCGCGGCGUAUUAGCUAGUUGGUGAGGUAAAGGCUCACCAAGGCAGUGAUACGUAGCCGACCUGAGAGGGUAAUCGGCCACAUUGGGACUGAGACACGGCCCAGACUCCUACGGGAGGCAGCAGUAGGGAAUCUUCCACAAUGGACGCAAGUCUGAUGGAGCAACGCCGCGUGAGUGAAGAAGGGUUUCGGCUCGUAAAGCUCUGUUGUUAAAGAAGAACGUGGGUAAGAGUAACUGUUUACCCAGUGACGGUAUUUAACCAGAAAGCCACGGCUAACUACGUGCCAGCAGCCGCGGUAAUACGUAGGUGGCAAGCGUUAUCCGGAUUUAUUGGGCGUAAAGCGAGCGCAGGCGGUCUUUUAAGUCUAAUGUGAAAGCCUUCGGCUCAACCGAAGAAGUGCAUGGAAACUGGGAGAC